AUUGAACGCUAGCGGCAUGCCUUACACAUGCAAGUCGAACUAGUGGCGGACGGGUGAGUAAUAUCUGGGAACCUGCCUAAUAGCGGGGGAUAACUACUGGAAACAGUGGCUAAUACCGCAUACUCUCAGAUAUGCCGAUAUGGGAUUCGCUAGUUGGUGGGGUAACGGCUCACCAAGGCAACGAUCCCUAGCUGGUUUGAGAGGACGACCAGCCACACUGGGACUGAGACACGGUCCAGACUCCUACGGGAGGCAGCAGUGGGGAAUUGUGGACAAUGGGGGAAAGCCAGAUCCAGCCAUCCCGCGUGUAUGAUGAAGGCCUUCGGGUUGUAAAGUACUUUUGGCAGAGAAGCGGUAUCUGCAGAAUAAGCACCGGCUAACUACGUGCCAGCAGCCGCGGUAAUUC
rnacentral:rRNA from 1 species